AUUGAACGCUGGCGGCAGGCCUAACACAUGCAAGUCGAGCGGAUGAAGGGAGCUUUCUCCUGGAUUCAGCUGCGGACGGGUGAGUAAUUCCUAGGAAUCUGCCUGGUAGUGGGGGAUAACGUCCGUAAACGGGCGCUAAUACCACAUACGUCCUGAGGGAGAAAGGGGGGGAUCUUCGGACCUCACGCUAUCAGAUGAGCCUAGGUCGGAUUAGCUAGUUGGUGGGGUAAAGGCCUACCAAGGCGACGAUCCGUAACUGGUCUGAGAGGAUGAUCAGUCACACUGGAACUGAGACACGGUCCAGACUCCUACGGGAGGCAGCAGUGGGGAAUAUUGGACAAUGGGCGAAAGCCUGAUCCAGCCAUGCCGCGUGUGUGAAGAAGGUCUUCGGAUUGUAAAGCACUUUAAGUUGGGAGGAAGGGAAGUAAGUUAAUACCUUGCUGUUUUGACGUUACCAACAGAAUAAGCACCGGCUAACUUCGUG
rnacentral:rRNA from 1 species